AGUCACUGACAUUAGAUACCCGGGUAGUCCAGGGUGUAAACGCUGCAGACUUGGUGUUGGGAACCCUUCGGGGGUGCUCAGUGCCGGAGAGAAGUUGUUAAGUCUGCUACUUGGGAGUACGUCCGCAAGGAUGAAACUUAAGGAAUUGGCGGGGAGCACAACAACGGGUGGAGCCUGCGGUUUAAUUGGACUCAACGCCGGACAACUCACCGGGACGACAGCAAUAUGUAGGCCAGGCUGAAGACCUUGCCUGAAUCGCUG
rnacentral:rRNA from 1 species